rnacentral:rRNA from 1 species
UACAGAGGGUGCAAGCGUUGUUCGGAAUUAUUGGGCGUAAAGCGCGUGUAGGCGGCUUUGCAAGUCGGGUGUGAAAGCCCUCAGCUCAACUGAGGAAGUGCGCCCGAAACUGCAGAGCUUGAGUACCGGAGAGGAUGGCGGAAUUCCCCAAGUAGAGGUGAAAUUCGUAGAUAUGGGGGAGGAACACCGGUGGCGAAGGCGGCCAUCUGGACGGAUACUGACGCUGAGACGCGAAAGCGUGGGGAGCAAACAGG